AAAAAAAUUGUAAAGUUAGGCUGGUGCAAUCCAGUGGUGAGCUGGCAGUAAGCCCCAGCUUUUAGGAAACAGGGUUGUUCUUCAUGUGGAUGACUGUGCUGAAAGCAUGGGAUCAGCU
rnacentral:snoRNA from 1 species